AGACGGGGGGUGCUAGCGUUGUUCGGAAUUACUGGGCGUAAAGGGCGCGUAGGCGGCUCUGCGAGUCGGGCGUGAAAUCCCGGGGCUCAACCCCGGAACGGCGCUCGAUACUGCGGGGCUGGAGACCAGAAGAGGAGGGUGGAAUUCCCAGUGUAGAGGUGAAAUUCGUAGAUAUUGGGAGGAACACCGGUGGCGAAAGCGGCUCUCUGGUCCGGUUCUGACGCUGAGGCGCGAAAGCGUGGGGAGCAAACAGGAUUAGAAACCCUAGUAGUCC
rnacentral:rRNA from 1 species